UACCAGCACCCCGAGUGGUCGGGACGUUUAUUGGGCCUAAAGGAUCCGUAGCCGGUUCUCCAAGUCUUCCGUUAAAUCCACCUGCUUAACAGAUGGGCUGCGGAAGAUACUAUAGAGCUAGGAGGCGGGAGAGGCAAGCGGUACUCGAUGGGUAGGGGUAAAAUCCGUUGAUCCAUUGAAGACCACCAGUGGCGAAGGCGGCUUGCCAGAACGCGCUCGACGGUGAGGGAUGAAAGCUGGGGGAGCAAACCGG
rnacentral:rRNA from 1 species